CUGCUGCCUCCCGUAGGAGUUUGGACCGUGUCUCAGUUCCAAUGUGGGGGACCUUCCUCUCAGAACCCCUACGCAUCGUCGGCUUGGUGGGCCGUUGCCCCACCGACUACCUAAUGCGCCGCAUGCCCAUCCAUGACCGGGGUCGCCCCCUUUGACCGGCAGGGGAUGUCCCCUCCCGGCAUUAUGUUGUAUUAGGCGGGAUUUCUCCCGGUUAUCCAUCUGUCACGGCCAGGUUGCAUACGUGUUACUCACCCGUGCGCCGGUCGCCGG
rnacentral:rRNA from 1 species